rnacentral:tRNA from 1 species
AGAAAGAUAAGCUAAAUUAAGCUUUUAGGUUCAUACCCUGACUAUAGAAUAUUAUUCUUCUUUCUA